rfam:Myotis lucifugus cont2.30208, whole genome shotgun sequence.
UGUGUGUGGGGGGCGUCCCUCAGCCUGGAUUGCGAGAAGGUGCAGGCCAGGCUGAAGGACCCCACUGUUGCAUG